UGCAGAAUAGAGCAAUUGGUUAGCUUAUCGGGCUCAUAAUCCGACGGUAUAGGUUCAAAUCCUGUUUCUGCG
rnacentral:tRNA from 1 species